AUUGAACGCUGGCGGCAGGCCUAACACAUGCAAGUCGAGCGGAUGAAGGGAGCUUGCUCCUGGAUUCAGCGGCGGACGGGUGAGUAAUGCCUAGGAAUCUGCCUGGUAGUGGGGGAUAACGUCCGGAAACGGGCGCUAAUACCGCAUACGUCCUGAGGGAGAAAGUGGGGGAUCUUCGGACCUCACGCUAUCAGAUGAGCCUAGGUCGGAUUAGCUAGUUUGUGGGGUAAAGGCCUACCAAGGCGACGAUCCGUAACUGGUCUGAGAGGAUGAUCAGUCACACUGGAACUGAGACACGGUCCAGACUCCUACGGGAGGCAGCAGUGGGGAAUAUUGGACAAUGGGCGAAAGCCUGAUCCAGCCAUGCCGCGUGUGUGAAGAAGGUCUUCGGAUUGUAAAGCACCUUAAGUUGGGAGGAAGGGCAGUAAGUUAAUACCUUGCUGUUUUGACGUUACCAACAGAAUAAGCACCGGCUAACUUCGUG
rnacentral:rRNA from 1 species